rnacentral:rRNA from 1 species
AGAGUUUGAUCCUGGCUCAGGACGAACGCUGGCGGCGUGGAUUAGGCAUGCAAGUCGGACGGUAGGGCUUUAUCGUAAGAUAGAGUUUGAGAGUGGCGAACGGGUGAGUAACACGUAGGAAUCUACCCUUAAGACGGGGACAACCCAGGGAAACUUGGGCUAAUACCGGAUGAGAGUGCGAGAGAUUGCAUUUAAAAGGAUGGCGAAAGUUGUCGCUUAGGGAUGAGCCUGCGGUCUAUUAGUUAGUUGGUGAGGUAAGAGCUCACCAAGGCGAUGAUAGAUAGGCGGCCUUAACGGGUGGUCGCCCACACUGGGAUUGAGAUACGGCCCAGACUCCUACGGGAGGCAGCAGUCGAGAAUAGUCUACAAUGGCCGGAAGGCUGAUAGUGCGACGCCGCGUGAACGAGGGAGCCCUUCGGGGUGUAAAGUUCUUUUCUAUACGAGCAGUGCUAUAUAUAUGGAUAGUAUAUAUAGAGGGAUAGUAGUAUAGGAAUAAGCAACGGCUAACUCCGUGCCAGCAGCCGCGGUAACACGGGGGUUGCGAGCGUUGUCCGGAAUUACUAGGCGUAAAGGGCAGGUAGGCGGAUCUACGAGUUUUUUGUUAAAGGCUACGGCUCAACUGUAGUAGAGCAGGAGAUACUGUAGGUCUGGAAUGCGGUAGGGGAAGACAGAAUUCCUGGUGUAGCGGUGGAAUGCGCAGAGAUCAGGAGGAAUACCGAAGGCGAAGGCAGUCUUCUAGGCCGUAAUUGACGCUUAACUGCGAAGGUGUGGGGAUCAAACAGGAUUAGAUACCCUGGUAGUCCACACAGUAAACGAUAAUCACUAGAUGUCGGGUUCUAGAUGGAUUCGGUGUCGGAGCUAACGCGAUAAGUGAUUCGCCUGGGGAGUACGAUCGCAAGGUUGAAACUCAAAGGAAUUGACGGGGGCCCGCACAAGCGGUGGAGCAUGU